GUUGCCCAGCAUCUGCCGCCGCCCGGAAAGCGCUCCUGGCGGAGACGCGCAGCGCGCGGACUGGACUGCCGGGUCCGACUUCUGCCAAAGCUGGAGGCUGAAAGCCGAGAUCAGCCUCCGCCGCCGCAGGGGCACCGCAGCCUCUGUGGAUAGGGUGAAACCUGCCUCCUCUCUCAGACCAGUGUUUUGGUGCUGGUGGAGCGAACUCACGCCCCUAGCCAGCCUUCUCAGUGACUCGUGCCAAGAGUACUCGUUCACCAGCACCGCCCCUUUAAGAGAUUUCGACUGCAGACAUUUUUUAACUUUUUAAAGACAGGAUGAAGGAAUUUGAAAAGGGCUGGAAUGCAUGACCUUCAACUGAAGUUCUCUGAGGAGCUUCUAUCAAACUAAGCAAGCAAGUAAUAUGGAAGUUAAGUUAGGUUAGACUGAGAAGUGCCACUAAGACCUUCUAGAAGUAGGACUGCAUAAAAUGAGGACAAAGAAGAAAGAAAAUCCAAGGCAUAUUAUUUAAAGAUGAUUUUAAAAACCAGAAUGUUAUAUGCUGAAGUAUUAGAUGUGGGCUUCAGCCCUUAAGGCCUGCCCGCUUCUUUCCGUUCCUGAAAGUUUCUGACAUGCCUAAGUCCUUUAAAAUAUGUGUGUGUGGGUGUGUGGUAUGGUAUAAGUUCCCAUAGAAAUUAACUAUAAUUUUAAAAUGUGCACUGAGCACCUCCUUAAACAGGAAUAGCCUGGUGAGCAAAGAUUCUUAUUUAUCUUUGUAUCUCCAGACCCAGGCACUUAGCAGGCACUCAAUAAAUGUCUAUGAAAUAAAUUAAUGGUAAAUCAAAGCAUGCUUAACACACUAAAAUCAUAUAGUGCUUUCAAGAAAAAUAUGGAAAAAAAUAAGAUUUUUUUUUUGUCAUGGUGAACUGUUUUUUAGGUUUCUGUUCAGUAAUUUGUUUUCCCAGCUAUUAGCAUUUUCCUGGUUACCUCCUUCAGGAAGUACUUAUCUUAUGAAUUCAGAAGCCAUUAGUUAGUUCAUUUGCUGUAUUCAGAAUUAAAAUCGAUUAUAUAUGUUUAACAAGGAGUCAGGUUUUCCAAAGGCCUAAACACCCACUGGCUUACAAUUGAAUGUACUUUUAGAAGCCACAUUAAUUGGGACCAGAGGACAACCACAUAAAUGAAAUACGUCACUCACCCAAAUAGAUGUCUAUAAUUAAUAUACCUUUCAAAAAUACCUACUCUUGGGACUAAGGAUGAACUUGGAUAUAAUGAAAAUCUGCCUAGUUCUUAAUUUUAUCCAUGAUUUUUGCUUACUUACUCAACUAUUCUAUAAUUGUUUGGUAUCCUAGUUACUUUAAUCAGUAUUUAAUAUUCUCCUCAGAACCUGUAUAGUGGUACAAAAAUCAAAACCAACAAAACAGUGUUUGUUUUGUUUUUUUUAAUUCCUGAUGAAAACCAUCUUCUUUAGGCCAGCCAUUGAAAUUCUAUAGUCACAUACAGCCUCAGGACACCGAGGCAAAGAAAGCCAUUUAGUAACAUUUAAGGAGUUCCAGAUAGCCCUGGUUGACUUCAAGAUGACCUGAUUGUUUGCUCCUUUGGUCUAGUUUGGAUAAAGAUCUUCACAAGGCUAUUCUUUCCAAAUAGCCUCCUCUCCCUGUAGCAUGGUUUUUGUCUUACUUCCUAUCUAAUCCUAAAUUAUAUGUUAUAAGUAGCUCAUUAUUAAUCUGUAUAUUAGAUUAGUUUCUAUCCUGGUUUCUAUGUGCUGAGUAGCAAUGACCUGUAUCUCUGUCUGUCUUAAAUUGUAAUUUCCUAAGAGAUAAGAACUGGGGCCUAUGUAUAAAAUGUGAAUUUCUGGGAACUAGCUGCAUCUCCUUAGAAAUUCUCUUCCUGAUGUUACCGAAUGGUCCUCAUAGAUAAAUUCCUUUGAUAUCUAGGAGUCUAGGUUCUCACACCUGUAAGAAAUCUUGAAGAUUAACUCAUUCAAUGGUUUUCUAGACUAUGACUAUGGGAUUUCAAAAUAAACAUUAAUAGGGAAGAGCUGACAUAUAUUUGUCAACUUAUUUUGUCUAGCCAGGACCUUAAAAAACAUCUAUCAACUAUUUAUCACUAUUAUUUCCCAAAAGAAAAAAAAUAGCACAAAAAAAAGCUGAGAUGGUAUGUCAAAAAUAAAAACCAAGUAUUUAAAUAAA